UCGAACUCAAAAAUCUUAAAAAUGUCAAGUGGACAAUUCAAAUUCUGAACUAUGUUAAAAAGUCACGAAUUUACCAUUAAAAUAUAAUUUCGAGUCAAACGGUAUUUACAAGCUGAGCUUCCAGUUUAAGAUAUGCGACGUGUGGUUAGACACUAUAGAAACUGUUAAACACGUCAAAAUAGAUUCCAAUUCUAUAAUAUUCGCCAAUAUAUCGACUUACAGAACUAA